GGGGCUGUGGUCUAGCUUGGUAUGAUAUCUGGUUCGGGACCAGGAGAUCGCCGGUUCGAAUCCGGCCAGCCCCA
rnacentral:tRNA from 1 species